UGAUCCUGGCUCAGAUUGAACGCUGGCGGCAGGCCUAACACAUGCAAGUCGAACGGUAACAGGACAGCUUGCUAUCGCUGACGAGUGGCGGACGGGUGAGUAAUACUUAGGGAUCUGCCUCUGUGUGGGGGAUAACUAUUGGAAACGAUAGCUAAUACCGCAUAAUGUCUACGGACCAAAGCGGGCUUCGGCUCGUGCGCAGAGAGGAACCUAAGCGAGAUUAGCUAGUUGGUGAGGUAAAGGCUCACCAAGGCGACGAUCUCUAGCUGUUCUGAGAGGAAGAUCAGCCACACUGGAACUGAGACACGGUCCAGACUCCUACGGGAGGCAGCAGUGGGGAAUAUUGCACAAUGGGGGAAACCCUGAUGCAGCCAUGCCGCGUGUGUGAAGAAGGCCUUCGGGUUGUAAAGCACUUUCAGUUGUGAGGAAAGUUUAGUAGUUAAUACCUGCUAGAUGUGACGUUAGCAACAGAAGAAGCACCGGCUAACUCCGUGCCAGCAGCCGCGGUAAUACGGAGGGUGCGAGCGUUAAUCGGAAUUACUGGGCGUAAAGCGCACGCAGGCGGUCUGUUAAGCUAGAUGUGAAAGCCCCGCGCUCAACGUGGGAGGGUCAUUUAGAACUGGCAGACUAGAGUCUUGGAGAGGGGAGUGGAGUUCCAGGUGUAGCGGUGAAAUGCGUAGAGAUCUGGAGGAACAUCAAUGGCGAAGGCCACUCCCUGGCCAAAGACUGACGCUCAUGUGCGAAAGUGUGGGUAGCGAACAGGAUUAGAUACCCUGGUAGU
rnacentral:rRNA from 1 species